rnacentral:tRNA from 1 species
GCCUCCGUAGCUCAGUCGGUAGAGCAGCGGAUUCUUAAUCCGCGGGUCGAAGGUUCGAGCCCUUCCGGAGGUACCA